rnacentral:rRNA from 1 species
AGAGUUUGAUCCUGGCUCGAUUGAACGCUGGCGGCAGGCCUAACACAUGCAAGUCGAGCGGAAACGAGUUAUCUGAACCUUCGGGGAACGAUAGAGCGGCGGACGGGUGAGUAAUGCCUAGGAAAUUGCCCUGAUGUGGGGGAUAACCAUUGGAAACGAUGGCUAAUACCGCAUGAUGCCUACGGGCCAAAGAGGGGGACCUUCGGGCCUCUCGCGUCAGGAUAUGCCUGAUUAGCUAGUUGGUGAGGUAAGGGCUCACCAAGGCGACGAUCCCUAGCUGGUUGAGAGGAUGAUCAGCCACACUGGAACUGAGACACGGUCCAGACUCCUACGGGAGGCAGCAGUGGGGACAAUGGGCGCAAGCCUGAUGCAGCCAUGCCGCGUGUAUGAAGAAGGCCUUCGGGUUGUAAAGUACUUUCAGUCGUGAGGAAGGUAGUGUAGUUAAUAGCUGCAUUAUUUGACGUUAGCGACAGAAGAAGCACCGGCUAACUCCGUGCCAGCAGCCGCGGUAAUACGGAGGGUGCGAGCGUUAAUCGGAAUUACUGGGCGUAAAGCGCAUGCAGGUGGUUUGUUAAGUCAGAUAGCCCGGGGCUCAACCUCGGAAUAGCAUUUGAAACUGGCAGACUAGAGUACUGUAGAGGGGGGUAGAAUUUCAGGUGUAGCGGUGAAAUGCGUAGAGAUCUGAAGGAAUACCGGGCGGCCCCCUGGACAGAUACUGACACUCAGAUGCGAAAGCGUGGGGAGCAAACAGGAUUAGAUACCCUGGUAGUCCACGCCGUAAACGAUGUCUACUUGGAGGUUGUGGCCUUGAGCCGUGGCUUUCGGAGCUAACGCGUUAAGUAGACCGCCUGGGGAGUACGGUCGCAAGAUUAAAACUCAAAUGAAUUGACGGGGGCCCGCACAAGCGGUGGAGCAUGUGGUUUAAUUCGAUGCAACGCGAAGAACCUUACCUACUCUUGACAUCCAGAGAACUUAGAUGGAUUGGUGCCUUCGGGAACUCUGAGACAGGUGCUGCAUGGCUGUCGUCAGCUCGUGUUGUGAAAUGUUGGGUUAAGUCCCGCAACGAGCGCAACCCUUAUCCUUGUUUGCCAGCGAGUAAUGUCGGGAACUCCAGGGAGACUGCCGGUGAUAAACCGGAGGAAGGUGGGGACGACGUCAAGUCAUCAUGGCCCUUACGAGUAGGGCUACACACGUGCUACAAACAGAGGGCGGCCAACUUGCGAAAGUAUCCCAAAAAGUGCGUCGUAGUCCGGAUUGGAGUCUGCAACUCGACUCCAUGAAGUCGGAAUCGCUAGUAAUCGUGGAUCAGAAUGCCACGGUGAAUACGUUCCCGGGCCUUGUACACACCGCCCGUCACACCAUGGGAGUGGGCUGCAAAAGAAGUAGGUAGUUUAACCUUCGGGGGGACGCUUACCACUUUGUGGUUCAUGACUGGGGUGAAGUCGUAACAGCCGU